rnacentral:rRNA from 1 species
CCCCUAGAUGUUCUGGGCCGCACGCGCGCUACACUGAACAGUUCAACAAGUCUUAACCUUGGCCGAUAGGCCUGGGCAACCUUUGAACGCCAGUCGUGCUGGGGAUAGAUUCUUGCAAUUAUUAAUCUUCAACGAGGAAUUCCUAGUAAACGCAAGUCAUCAGCUUGCAUUGAUUACGUCCCUGCCCUUUGUACACACCGCCCGUCGCACCUACCGAUUGAAUGGUCCGGUGAAAUCCUCGGAUCGAGCCGUGGGGCAACUCCGGUUCGAGAAGUUGAUUAAACCUUACCAUUUAGAGGAAGGUGAAGUCGUAACA